CUCCAGUGUAUUUUCUAGUUACUUUCCUACAAUUUAUCGCCCCAAACCCAAACCCCUUUUCCCUUGUCUUAUCAUAUCUUCAUAAUUUAUCAUUCUUUGUUUUUUUUCCAAAAAGGUAUAUAAGGUCUCAGGCCUAUCACUUUUUGGGGGGUCUAUACUUUUUUACAAAGACCUCUAUAUACAUACGUACUAAUAAACCUUUUCUCCUAUGUAAUCUGUCUUUUGACAGUCUAAUUUGUAGAGCCCCAACCACUGAACUGAAGAAGGUAAAGGAAAACAUUUUUGUUUGUUUGUUUCCUUCUGAAUUACAUGGUCUCUAGUGCUUGAAUGGCCCUUCGAUCUAAGUAUUAGAUCUCUUUUGCAGAAGAGAAAAUUAGGGUUAAAAUACUUGUCCCAGAUCACAAGGAGAAUGUACACAAGACUCUAGAUUGUUUCAGUCAAUCCUCAUUUGACUUUGUCAUGUUUAAACUAACAUUUCUCAAACCUCCUUCAAGCUAGAGUUCUAAAUGUGAAUUCACUUCUACCCAUUACAUAUACCAAUGCAAGAUUGGGACAGUGGAAAUGAGGCCAAGGCUGCCUUCUUGUGGCUCAUGGCUUUUGUUGCUGGCAAGCAAGCAUCUUGAAAAUCUGAGGGUUUUCUGUAGUAGCAAUCCCAGGUCAUUGACCAAUCUCUUGGAUGUUGGCAGGCAGUUACAGCAGUGGUGCUGGAAGAGAUGCUUGCUUCCAGCAUCUCUCUGGGGAAACCUCAGAAGUAACACUUCCCUAGGAGAGCUGUUCUAUGUCUCACUCUUGGAGUCACUAGAAGCUGUUUUUUCAGCCCUUCUUAUAAUCAUGAACAAACCCCAGGCAAGCCUACAACUUGAACCUACUGGUGGAUGCUCCUGAUAAAUUGGCUCACUGAAACACUCGGAACGUUUAUCUGAUAAUCACUAAUGGGCAGACAAGCAGGCAUGUAUACUGAGAUUUGAGUGUUUGGGGAAUCUAUGAGAGUGUAAAAAAGAUUGUCAAAAAUGGCAAAAUGGUCUUACACUCUUCAUUCCACACAUUAACUGUGCAUAGCUAUAUUCUUUGCCAUUAAACAAGAAUUUACAGACUUCAUAUUUAUAUUAGCUUUUCAUCAAUCACAUUACAGUGUUGUAGCAAAUAUGCAUCUACUGUCUCUUCUGUCAUCUCUACCUUAAAAUGGCACUCCAUGUGUAUCUAUAUAAUUUUCCUUCUCCCAAUAGAGAUAAAGAGCAUAUAUUUUUCCUUUCUUCAUGUCUAAAACUUUAACUUCUUUCUUAUUCCAACUCUUUCUCUUCCAAAAUUCUAUCGCCUUGCAUCUGAAUUUUUCUUUCCUCUGUUGAAUCCUUUCUAUAAGUCUGCAGGGUUUUCACCACCAUUUUAUGUUUUAAACUUUGUAUUUCUCAUGAAUUCCCCAAGUGGAGAUUUCCAGUCUGCAAACAAAGGCCACCUCCUCUGUGAAGAUAUUUUUUAUUCCCAAAUUGGUAGUAAUCAUUCCAUGUCCUAAAAUAGCAUACCAAUUUCUCAAAAUAAUUGUAUGGCUUUUAGACAGAUAACUACAGUACAAAAUAUAACAUGAAACCUCAACAGUAGACUCGGCUCCUUUAAAAAGGGAUCUAUGGUUUUUGACUUUGAUAAUUGCGAAUAGUAGGCAUUAGAUGAAAUCAUAUGAAUAACAUUUCAAACAUAUCUCACUACAAAUGCGAAGAGUAGGUUGUUU
rnacentral:lncRNA from 1 species